rnacentral:rRNA from 1 species
UUAAAGCUCCCUUCGGGGAGUGCAUAGAGUGGCGCACGGGUUGAGUAACACGUAAGUAAUCUACCCUCGGGUGGGGAAUAACAUCGGGAAACCGAUGCUAAUACCGCAUAAUGCAGCGGCACCGCAAGGUGACAGUUGUUAAAGGAGCAAUCCGCCUGGGGAGGAGCUUGCGGCAGAUUAGCUUGUUGGUAAGGUAAUGGCUUACCAAGGCUACGAUCUGUAUCCGGUCUAAGAGGACGGUCGGACACACUGACACUGAAUAACGGGUCAGACUCCUACGGGAGGCAGCAGUCGGGAAUUUUGGGCAAUGGGGGAAACCCUGACCCAGCAACGCCGCGUGAAGGAUGAAGUAUUUCGGCAUGUAAACUUCGAAAGAAUGGGAAGAAUUAAUGACGGUACCAUUUAUAAGCUCCGGCUAACUACGUGCCAGCAGCCGCGGUAAUACGUAGGGAGCAAGCGUUGUUCGGAUUUACUGGGCGUAAAGGGCGCGUAGGCGGCGCGGUAAGUCACUUGUGAAAUCUCUGAGCUUAACUCAGAACGGCCAAGUGAUACUGCAGUGCUUGAGUGUGGAAGGGGCAAUCGGAAUUCUUGGUGUAGCGGUGAAAUGCGUAGAUAUCAAGAGGAACACCUGAGGUGAAGACGGGUUGCUGGGCCAACACUGACGCUGAUGCGCGAAAGCCAGGGGAGCAAACGGGAUUAGAUACCCCGGUAGUCCUGGCCCUAAACGAUGAAUACUUGGUGUCUGGAGUUUUAAUGCUCCGGGUGCCGUCGCUAACGUUUUUAGUAUUCCGCCUGGGGAGUACGCUCGCAAGAGUGAAACUCAAAGGAAUUGACGGGGACCCGCACAAGCGGUGGAGCAUGUGGUUUAAUUCGACGCAACGCGAAGAACCUUACCUGGA